UUUUUAGCAGAUGGUGUAGUUUCUCUCUGCAACCAUGAGGGCUAGAAACUUAUGAAAGACGAGAGUCUCUUGUAAUCACCUGACUCCAGGAGCUGGGGUGUUAAGAAAAACACCAAACAAUGAGACUCCCGGUAAAAUCACGGGAUUUGGUAAGAAUGCAGGAGUGGUAAAGGUCUGAAAUGCAGCUGAGAAGCUGAACCAGGUAGCAGCUAAAUCAGAAUUUAGGUGGGACAUUCUGAUAUUUUGACAUUUGUGUCUGUCAUGAAUCAGGACAAGAAGUUGAAAUAUACAAACUUUUUAUUUUGCAAUCAGUUCCAGAAAUGUGUGGAAAAUAUCUGGUUUCCGCAUUUGAUCAAACCAAUUUCUUUCAUCAUUCACAUAGCAAAGCUGUUUGGUUUGUCAAACCAAAUCAGAACAUUUAUUUCAGCAUGGUUCAACAUUGAACAGCAACUUUGGGUCCUCAUGGGAGUUCUGGGUUGGGUGCCUUCUGCCCCCUUCUGUGCCCUGAGAUCCUGGGCUGGACUACAUCUCCCAUGAUGCCCAGCAGUGGCUCAGCCAAUAGGGAAACCCUGGUGCAUUAUAGGAGAUUUAGUCUGGGGGACCCAACCCAGAGCAGAGAAUAUGAGGCCCAAACUAUAACCCCCAUGAGGCACCUUGGUAACUCAGCUGGCUACAGAUUAAUGUUGAACUGACCCCAAAGAAAAUCAUUGCUCAAUGGAAAAUAGAAACUUUUCAGUGAAAUCAAAAUUAAACUUAGGAAAAAUUCAUCUUUGACAGAAAAUUCAUUUUCUGUCACAGAAAUAUUUUGAUGAAAAAUCUUCAGCCAGCUCUACAAAAUACACUAGACUAGUCUUAGCACCAUGUCCCUGCAUGGGCUGACCAACCCAUAGCUCAUGGAGUGGACGGGUGCUGCCUCUGAGGUUGGGAUGUCAUUUCCUGGUGUAGAAUUCCCAGCCUGGACACCUCCCCAGCGCCCUGAGUAGCAGCCCAGAGAACCCAGUGUAGGUUGUAGAGAUCCCAGACAUGGAGAUGUGUAACGUGUAUUUGCUGUUACUUUUUUAACAAAGGAUUUCCUGAUGCGUCAUAAAGGACCCUCUGACCAUUGGAUCGGCCUCCAGAGGGAACCGGACCAACCCUGGAUGUGGACCAGUGGCACUAAAUUCAACAACUGGUUUCCAAUAGCGGGAGGAGGACCAUGUGCUUUUCUGAACAGAGGCGAUGUUUCCAGUUCAGGCUGCUGGAGGAACGCACGCUGGAUCUGCAGCAAACCAGCAGAGAAACCAGAAGGCCGAGCAAAGUGACUGUAACCUGGAUGAGUCGGGCCUUGUCCUUUCCAUGGGGCUGUCCCAAGCUGCCUCACCCAGUGGGGAACUGGAUGGGGCUGGUGAAGGCGGACAUCCCAAGCAGCAAGGAAGAGAGACGCUCGCUGAAGGGCAGCAUUUAGCUCCUUCCCUGGGAGCCUCUGGCCCCCAUUGGCCCAUUUGGGAGUGUGGGGUGCUCCAGGGAUUUAACCUGGAGGCCACAUAAUGUGGGUCUCUUAUGGCUCCAUUCCAGCAGCCCCACCCUGUAUUUGGAGUUGGACUCACGGGACGGGCUGAGACUCCGUGGCCCUCCCAGGCGGAGGGCAGCCCUGUGUUCAGGUUUUAUAACAUUUGGAGCCUGCCACUUAAAAUCCACCCAUGGGCCUGUGUUUACUUUGCCACUGCGUCCUCAUCCGUGUUCCUUCUCCGGCCAACAUGCAGCUACCCCUGGCCUGAGUGAACCCCUCGUAACCAGACAGCAGCACCCCAACAAGCGGACAGAUGGAACAUACAGUAGCCAUAAGAUAGGACAUGGCAGUUGUUUGUACUUCACAAGCAGCAGGGUGUGACAAGUUGGCAGCAAGGCCUGCUGGGAAAGGAAAUGAGUAUAAAAGCCCAGGCUCUGUCUCUGGCACAGAGAAGGAAUCUUUUGACUUGGAAACCGGAAGGGGAGCAGCCAAACCUGCAGCGUCCUGCCUGUCAGAGGCCCCAGGGCAGGAUCCGGAGAAGAGCUGGGGCUAGACUGAUCUGCCCGAAACUGUCUCUGGAGGUGCUGUGGCCCCUGCAGCCACGGCGUGAAGGGGCCGGGGUGAACCCUGCAGCCUGGGGGAAGGAUGCACAAACGGCGAGAAGGGCUGCUUUGCAGGCCCUGCUGCAAGGGCUGCAGGAGUGUGAAGAGGGACUGUGGACAAGAGAGGAUGCUGGAACAUCCAAGAUAGACUCUGUGAGUGUGUGUGUGUGUGUGUGUGUGUGUGUGUGUGUGUGUGUACACAUACAACAUUUUUAUAAUAAUAAACCAGCUCCCAGAAGGGAAAUUUUUA